UUGGUGGGGUAAUGGCUUACCAAGGCGACGAUCAGUAGCUGGUCUAAGAGGAUGAUCAGCCACAAUGGGACUGAGACACGGCCCAUACUCCUACGGGAGGCAGCAGUAGGGAAUAUUGCGCAAUGGACGAAAGUCUGACGCAGCAACACCGCGUGAGGGAUGAAGCUUUUUGGAGUGUAAACCUCUGUCAGUGGGGACGAAUAAAUGACGGUACCCACAAAGGAAGCAUCGGCUAACUACGUGCCAGCAGCCGCGGUAAGACGUAGGAUGCAAGCGUUGUCCGGAAUUAUUGGGCGUAAAGAGUUCGUAGGCGGUCUAUCAAGUCUGGUGUUAAAUCCCGGGGCUCAACUCCGGACCGGCACUGGAUACUGGUAAGCUAGAGUGCAGUAGAGGCAAGGGGAAUUCCCAGUGUAGCGGUGAAAUGCGUAGAUAUUGGGAGGAACACCGGUGGCGUAAACGCCUUGCUGGGCUGUUACGGACGCUGAGGAACGAAAGCCAGGGGAGCAAA
rnacentral:rRNA from 1 species